AUUGAACGCUGGCGGCAGGCUUAACACAUGCAAGUCGAGCGGGGUGAUGGUGCUUGCACUAUCACUUAGCGGCGGACGGGUGAGUAAUGCUUAGGAAUCUGCCUAUUAGUGGGGGACAACAUUUCGAAAGGAAUGCUAAUACCGCAUACGUCCUACGGGAGAAAGCAGGGGAUCUUCGGACCUUGCGCUAAUAGAUGAGCCUAAGUCGGAUUAGCUAGUUGGUGGGGUAAAGGCCUACCAAGGCGACGAUCUGUAGCGGGUCUGAGAGGAUGAUCCGCCACACUGGGACUGAGACACGGCCCAGACUCCUACGGGAGGCAGCAGUGGGGAAUAUUGGACAAUGGGCGGAAGCCUGAUCCAGCCAUGCCGCGUGUGUGAAGAAGGCCUUAUGGUUGUAAAGCACUUUAAGCGAGGAGGAGGCUACUUUAGUUAAUACCUAGAGAUAGUGGACGUUACUCGCAGAAUAAGCACCGGCUAACUCUGUGCCAGCCGCCGCGGUAACAC
rnacentral:rRNA from 1 species